ensembl:lncRNA
AUAUAUAUAUAUAUAUAUAUAUAUAUAUAUAUAUAUAUAUAUAUUAAAUGGUGAAUUGACAAAAAAAGAUUUUGCAUAAGAUUUUCAAUUAAUUAUUUGCAUUAUUGGUGUAUACAGGUGUAUUAUUGUGGGAGCAUGUGAUUAGUUAAUGAAUUGUGUGUGGCGGAUACUUUAUGGCAAAUCGCAGACUUAUAAGUGCAUUACCGCCACCUAUCUCUCAAAUGGCCCAUUAACACUUGAUCUACAAUCUCAAUUAGGAGUGUCAGUGUCCAGUUCAGAGAUAGGUGACCGUCACUUAUAAGUCUGCGAUCCGCCAUAAAGCAAGCAAGAAGAAGAUGAUGCAGGCUAACAGUUCGGACAUUGCGUGAAACAGAGGUAAAAAAAAAAAAAACCGAGAUAAAUACUGUUCCGUUUCUUGCACAGACCGAUCGUUUUGUGUCUUUACACAUCAACGUAUCCUCACGAGUCGCAGCGUUUAAUUUGGAUUUUUCUGUGCAUGUUUUUUUUUCCCUUCCAUUGAUUCUGUUUCCAUUUGCCAUGCAUUGUACGACUGAGAGACUGCAACGCCUGAAGCUAAAAAUCAUAAUGUGUUCUACUGAAGAAACAAAGUCACCUACAUCUUGGAUGCCCUGGGGCUAAGCAGAUAAACAUCAAAUUUUCAUUUUUGGGCGAACUAUCGCUUUAAGUAGUUGUACUUUUUUGAGUAUAUUUUUAAAGCUGUACUUUUACUUGUACUUAAGUACAAAUUAAGCAAAAUAAUUUUACUUCGUUUAUUUUUAAAUCAUAGUUCGUUACUGAGUACGCCCACAGUUUGAAUUGAUAUUCAAACCUUUGAAGGCACUUCAGUAGCCAAUAAAAAUAUCCGAUCGUAAAGGGACCAAUAAAAGCGCUGAUAUCUGAACCGGGAAAAGCGACGCGUCGCUGCAGCAGGUGAAGAGUUGAUCAGACAGUGAGGGAACUCAGCGUAAUUUAUGGACUCAAAGCUCGGAGAAACAGUCUACAUGAUUUGCCCAUGCUAUCCGCUCAUUCAUCCACAAACCAAAGCAGACAGCCAAACUCCAAACAUUUUCAUCUGGACAGGUUUUCUUUAUCCUUCAUCACCACUUAAGAGGCAGUUUUGCUCAGAAAUAAACUAGACUUUACUUACUUUCUAAACAUGGCAUCCUUGCAUAAACUACUUAUGAAUGGUACAUGUUAUAUAAAUAUAAAUUUUGUCAUGCUUUUUAGUAGAAUUCAGAAAUGAUCCUCUUGUUUGACUGGGAAUAAACUCAUCACUUUAAAGACCCAUAGUGAAGUGCCUUUUGUUUUUUCACACAAAGUUGAACAUUUAAAGUCAAUUGAAGAUUUUUAUCAGGGUUAAACUACAUUUACAGGUUUAUGCCUGUGGGUUUGUUCCAUUGAAAUUAGCCAAAUUAUAUCGUUGGACCUUGGAAAUCCACUGUAAUCUAUACAUUUAUCCUCCAUUAUCUUUCUAAGUUCCG